rnacentral:tRNA from 1 species
CCUAAUAACAUGGCGCUGAACAGCGUUUUAUGUGGGUGAAAUAUUAAAUGUUCCAUCAUCUACCUUCUUUUCUCAUUGAAAGUU